rnacentral:tRNA from 1 species
UGGGGCGUCGUCUAAUGGCAGGACAACGGAUUCUGGUUCCGUAUGUGGGGGUUCGAAUCCUCCCGCCCCAGCCA